rnacentral:lncRNA from 1 species
CGGGGGGCGGCGCGGGGGAGGCUGCGAGCGCCCCGCCCCGCGGGCCUGGCCGUGAGAUGGCGACGGUGCUGGCGGGCGGCUCUGGGCGGGAGGUGCGGGAGGCAGCGCGGCGCUCGGGGGUCUGCCGGUCCGCCCGCCCGCCCCCGGCGGCUGGGGCUGCGUGCCCGCAGGGAAGCGGUAUCUGCUAACAGCAGAAGAUAUAAAGCUACAAGAAUUUCAGCAGAUGAAGGAAAAUGUGCUGGACAGAGAACCCUCUCUUCUGAAGCAGAAGGAUAG